GCUCAGAUUGAACGCUGGCGGCAGGCCUAACACAUGCAAGUCGAGCGGAAGAGAGAAGCUUGCUUCUCAAUUCAGCGGCGGACGGGUGAGUAAUGCCUAGGAAUCUGCCUGGUAGUGGGGGACAACGUUUCGAAAGGAACGCUAAUACCGCAUACGUCCUACGGGAGAAAGCAGGGGACCUUCGGGCCUUGCGCUAUCAGAUGAGCCUAGGUCGGAUUAGCUAGUUGGUGGGGUAAUGGCUCACCAAGGCGACGAUCCGUAACUGGUCUGAGAGGAUGAUCAGUCACACUGGAACUGAGACACGGUCCAGACUCCUACGGGAGGCAGCAGUGGGGAAUAUUGGACAAUGGGCGAAAGCCUGAUCCAGCCAUGCCGCGUGUGUGAAGAAGGUCUUCGGAUUGUAAAGCACUUUAAGUUGGGAGGAAGGGCAGUAAAUUAAUACUUUGCUGUUUUGACGUUACCGACAGAAUAAGCACCGGCUAACUCUGUGCCAGCAGCCGCGGUAAUACAGAGGGUGCAAGCGUUAAUCGGAAUUACUGGGCGUAAAGCGCGCGUAGGUGGUUUGUUAAGUUGGAUGUGAAAUCCCCGGGCUCAACCUGGGAACUGCAUUCAAAACUGACAAGCUAGAGUAUGGUAGAGGGUGGUGGAAUUUCCUGUGUAGCGGUGAAAUGCGUAGAUAUAGGAAGGAACACCAGUGGCGAAGGCGACCACC
rnacentral:rRNA from 1 species